rnacentral:rRNA from 1 species
AUGGUUAAGUUAGAAAGGGCGCACGGUGAAUGCCUUGGCACUAGGAGCCGAUGAAGGACGGGACUAACACCGAUAUGCUUCGGGGAGCUGUAAGUGAGCUUUGAUCCGGAGAUUUCCGAAUGGGGAAACCCACUGUUCGUAAUGGAACAGUAUCUUUAUCUGAAUACAUAGGAUAUUGAAGGCAGACCCGGGGAACUGAAACAUCUAAGUACCCGGAGGAAGAGAAAGCAAAUGCGAUUUCCUGAGUAGCGGCGAGCGAAACGGAAUUAGCCCAAACCAAGAGGCUUGCCUCUUGGGGUUGUAGGACACUCUAUACGGAGUUACAAAGGAACGAAGUAAAUGAAGCGACCUGGAAAGGUCCGUCGAAGAAGGUAACAACCCUGUAGUUGAAACUUCGUUCCCUCUUGAGUGGAUCCUGAGUACGGCGGAACACGUGAAAUUCCGUCGGAAGCUGGGAGGACCAUCUCCCAAGGCUAAAUACUACCUAGUGACCGAUAGUGAACCAGUACCGUGAGGGAAAGGUGAAAAGCACCCCGGAAGGGGAGUGAAAGAGAUCCUGAAACCGUGUGCCUACAAGUAGUCAGAGCCCGUUAACGGGUGAUGGCGUGCCUUUUGUAGAAUGAACCGGCGAGUUACGAUCCCAUGCAAGGUUAAGCUGAUAAGGCGGAGCCGUAGCGAAAGCGAGUCUGAAUAGGGCGUUUAGUAUGUGGUUGUAGACCCGAAACCAGGUGAUCUACCCAUGUCCAGGGUGAAGUUCAGGUAACACUGAAUGGAGGCCCGAACCCACGCACGUUGAAAAGUGCGGGGAUGAGGUGUGGGUAGCGGAGAAAUUCCAAUCGAACCUGGAGAUAGCUGGUUCUCUCCGAAAUAGCUUUAGGGCUAGCCUCAUGUUGUGAGAGUCUUGGAGGUAGAGCACUGAUUGGACUAGGGGCCCCCAACGGGUUACCGAAUUCAGUCAAACUCCGAAUGCCAAAGACUUAUCCAUGGGAGUCAGACUGCGAGUGAUAAGAUCCGUAGUCAAAAGGGAAACAGCCCAGACCACCAGCUAAGGUCCCCAAGUAUACGUUAAGUGGAAAAGGAUGUGGAGUUGCUUAGACAACCAGGAUGUUGGCUUAGAAGCAGCCACCAUUUAAAGAGUGCGUAAUAGCUCACUGGUCGAGUGACUCUGCGCCGAAAAUGUACCGGGGCUAAACGUAUCACCGAAGCUGUGGAUUGACAUCUUUGAUGUCAGUGGUAGGAGAGCGUUCUAAGUGCAGCGAAGUCAGACCGUAAGGACUGGUGGAGCGCUUAGAAGUGAGAAUGCCGGUAUGAGUAGCGAAAGACAAGUGAGAAUCUUGUCCACCGAAUGCCUAAGGUUUCCUGAGGAAGGCUCGUCCGCUCAGGGUUAGUCGGGACCUAAGCCGAGGCUGAAAAGCGUAGGCGAUGGCCAACAGGUUGAUAUUCCUGUACCACCUCCCCGCCGUUUGAGUAAUGGGGGGACGCAGUAGGAUAGGGUAAGCGCGCUGCUGGAUAUGCGCGUUCAAGCAGUUAGGCUGAUGAGUAGGCAAAUCCGCUCAUCAUAAAGGCUGAGCUGUGAUGACGAGGGAAUUAUAGUACCGAAGUUCCUGAUUCCACACUGCCAAGAAAAGCCUCUAGCGAGGCGGGAGGUGCCCGUACCGCAAACCGACACAGGUAGGCGAGGAGAGAAUCCUAAGGUGAUCGAGAGAACUCUCGUUAAGGAACUCGGCAAAAUGACCCCGUAACUUCGGGAGAAGGGGUGCUCUGGUAGGGUGUAUAGCCCGAGAGAGCCGCAGUGAAUAGGCCCAGGCGACUGUUUAGCAAAAACACAGGUCUCUGCGAAGCCGCAAGGCGAAGUAUAGGGGCUGACGCCUGCCCGGUGCUGGAAGGUUAAGAGGAGGGGUUAUCCUUUGGGAGAAGCUCUGAAUCGAAGCCCCAGUAAACGGCGGCCGUAACUAUAACGGUCCUAAGGUAGCGAAAUUCCUUGUCGGGUAAGUUCCGACCCGCACGAAAGGCGUAACGAUCUGGGCACUGUCUCAACGAGAGACUCGGUGAAAUUAUAGUACCUGUGAAGAUGCAGGUUACCCGCGACAGGACGGAAAGACCCCGUGGAGCUUUACUGUAGCCUGAUAUUGAAUUUUGGUACAGCUUGUACAGGAUAGGUAGGAGCCUGAGAAGCCGGAGCGCUAGCUUCGGUGGAGGCGUCGGUGGGAUACUACCCUGGCUGUAUUGAAAUUCUAACCCGCGGCCCUGAUCGGGCCGGGAGACAGUGUCAGGUGGGCAGUUUGACUGGGGCGGUCGCCUCCUAAAAUGUAACGGAGGCGCCCAAAGGUUCCCUCAGAAUGGUUGGAAAUCAUUCGUAGAGUGUAAAGGCACAAGGGAGCUUGACUGCGAGACCUACAAGUCGAGCAGGGACGAAAGUCGGGCUUAGUGAUCCGGUGGUUCCGCAUGGAAGGGCCAUCGCUCAACGGAUAAAAGCUACCCCGGGGAUAACAGGCUUAUCUCCCCCAAGAGUCCACAUCGACGGGGAGGUUUGGCACCUCGAUGUCGGCUCAUCGCAUCCUGGGGCUGUAGUCGGUCCCAAGGGUUGGGCUGUUCGCCCAUUAAAGCGGUACGCGAGCUGGGUUCAGAACGUCGUGAGACAGUUCGGUCCCUAUCCGUCGUGGGCGUAGGAAAUUUGAGAGGAGCUGUCCUUAGUACGAGAGGACCGGGAUGGACACACCGCUGGUGUACCAGUUGUCUUGCCAAAGGCAUCGCUGGGUAGCUAUGUGUGGACGGGAUAAGUGCUGAAAGCAUCUAAGCAUGAAGCCCCCCUCAAGAUGAGAUUUCCCAUAGCGCAAGCUAGUAAGAUCCCUGAAAGAUGAUCAGGUUGAUAGGUCAGAGGUG